rnacentral:lncRNA from 1 species
UUUCUCUCGAGCAGUACACACUAAAUAGGUACAGUAAAUUGAUGGCCAUUCAAUUAACAACAAUAAAUACGUAGUUGAACAAGCAGAGAAAUCCAAGGGCUCAAUUAUAUAAAUACGUACAAGAAUUUAUCCUACAAAAGGUCCAUCAAAACCCAAGAUAACAAAUUAGCUAUUCAUAAUAGUAUACAAAACUACAAUACUAUAAUUCAUAACCAAUAAUGAAAAUAGGAAUAAGGAAAUGAAAAACUCGUAGAAGAAUUCUCCGGCUUGCUCCUAGCGUGUUCUUACCUCCUUGGGUCGAAUCCUCUCUCUAAAAACAUCCUCCCUCCUUAGACAUGUUUAGGGAGUAUUUAUAGGCUAGGGUUCGGGGUCCUUGAGUCUAAAUUCGGGUCGGAGUCUUUUAAUUCAUACACUUUUGAUCACCGUACAAUAGACCUCGCGAGGCUAGACUUAUAGCACGGUCAACCUGGUUGCGGAGCUGGCUACGCCUGGCAUGUAGCGUGGUCAAGCUGGCUAUAGAGUUAGCUAUGCUUGGCCUAUAGCACGGUUUGGGUACUUGGUAUUUUUGUACCUUUUUCUUACAUUUUCGUCCUCUUUUUUAGCAAUGUUCACUCAUCUUUGUCUUCCGAUGCUCCUACAUAUAAAAAAAUAUAAUUUAGCUCAAACGUCGCACAAUUAAUCACUAAACUAAUAAUAUAUAAGGCGAGUAAUGUACUAAAAAUAUAGCAUUUUGGCCAAACAUCACUACCCAACACUUAAACGUUGCUCGUCCUCGAGUCAACCACCAAUUCAUACUAACCUUGAGCACUUUAUUUUCUUUUAGCACGUCCGAAGCACACCAUACCUAUGACUAUGAGCCCGUUUAGAUGAGCUUGCUUUAAGUGACUUUUAAGCUAAAAUAGUUUUUAAGCCAUAAGUUAGAAAUUCUAGCUUUUGACUUGUUUUUGUCAUUUUAGCUUAAAAAUAAGUGCUUAAAAGCACUUUUUUACUUUACCCAAACACUACAAAAUAAUUUAAAACUAUUUUAGCUUAAAAGCACUUAAAACAAGCCAAUCCAAAAAGGCUCUAUGGUUGGUAUUAACAAUUAAACUUUAGCAUAUGCCUUCAACACACACUUCCCUUCACUUUAUGCCAUACUUCAAAAAUUUAUUCAACAACAAGACAACAUGCUUAUAACAAUCCUAGCAUCACAAACCGACUCAAUAUCACAAUGACACAAUGCAUUAAUGGCUUGAACACUUAUUAUCAUAAAGAAAUCUAAUAACGUCACCUAUCCCUCGCGAAAUCAUAUUCCUCACAACAAGACAAAGGAGUAAGUCGAACCCACAUACUCAAAUCAAAUGCUCAAAUAUAUUUUAAGGACUUAGAUAAAUCAAAGAAAUUCCUCACUCUCACAUAAAAGUCACGUGUAUACACAAAGUACCAUAAGGUUGCCCAUUAUGUAAACAUCCACUAAUAUAGGCUUGCUUGAUCUAAAAUCAAGUAGGACUUUUUCAUGGUUGCAUCGUGGGCUACAAGACGGGUAGGAUAUAUUUUUGGAAUAGUGGCUAACCCUCUUAAGCACUUUAACAUAUCACAUACUUCUUUAAGCAUAAAUUCUCCAAUACCAACUUCAAUUUCAUAAACAAUAUCAUCCCAAAAGCUCCCCCCCCCCCCUUUUCUUCAGCACUACUUUAAUUCAUACCUACUAGCAAGGACAAUAUAUCAAUUUAUUUAUCUACGUAUUUUUUUCUCAACUAUGUUUUUUUUUUCUUUGCAAUUUUUCUCUUCUUUACAAUUUUUUUUCUAGUAAUGUAUUCUUUUACAAAACACGUGUACCUUUACUUUUUCAGUGGUUCCACUCAAAAGCCACACAAGUUCCCUCCUUACUUCUUCUAAUGCUCAUUUUACAAUUAAAGUGCUUUAAGAAGUACAAGGAUCAAAACAAUAACAAUUAAGAAUAAGGGGGUAUAGGCUUGUAAUGUGGUUUCUAAAUAAAAGUCUAUAGGCUCGAAACGGUUGACUAGGGAUAAAUUUUUAUUUGUGGUAGGCAUUAAGUCCAAAAAGAUUAAAGAAAGCCGAAAAUCAUUUUUCAAACCAAGCAAAGCCUAGGAUUUCGCUUCAACUCAUAUGACGGGCAAGUUCUUGACUCAGUUACAAUGACAUGGACUAUCCAUUGCCUUUAUAUUUGUAGUUGUUUCUCAUUAUUUCGUUCCAUUAGGCACUUUAACAUAUCUUUGAUCUUUUUAAGGUCAGGUUCCCCAAGUUUUUUUUCCUAUUAACUUCACAAGAAAAUGUAGAACCAUCACGGGGUUGGGGGAGGAUAAGAAAUACAAGCACAGCCAUAAAAGUGAUCAUCUUGACCACCACAAACAUCACAUACAUUCCAUAUAUAAGAUUCAGUUGGUGCAAAUAACUCGCUCUCGAAAAUAUUUUGACAAUUUUGCCACAAGUGAUUUCCUCCAUAAUAAGUACAAGGAAGAUUAACACUAGAAUUACCAACAUCGAAACUCCCAUUAUUCCAAGAUGCCAUGUUUCUCAAUUCAACAAUUAAAACUAAAAUAAAAAAAAUCAAAUAUCUAAAAAAAGAACAAAAUAAAAGUUCAAACUUGAAACCUAGCAAUAUGUACAACUACAACCACAUCAUUAGUUCCUCGGCAACGACAUAAAAUUUGAUCACGCCCAACUCUAGUCCCAAAAAGGAUAAGCGAUCGCUGCAAAAAUAAUUCAGUCUAAAAGUUCGGAGUCAAAUCCCACAGAUAACUAAGGCUUAGCUACAACUAUUCAGUAUUGCUAUGAAAUACAAGUUCAAAUAAUUUCCUAAUUAUAAAGAUUGUAUUUUUUUAACCUAAUUAAUUAACAAAUACUAAAAGCAGUAAAAUUAUCAACUAACAAGACUAAGGGCUGGAGACAAGAUUAAGGAGGCCAAAAGUUAUGAUUUUUCCGAUUGUCAGAAUCCUUCACGCUAGGUGUCACACCUCCUUUUUGCGCGCCCCGCCCCGAAGGGUAGAAAUGCGCGAGGGAGUUUUUCCAAUUUAAGUGACAAGAUUCGAAAUGGGAUUAUUUAUUUAAUUCAGAGUCGCCACUUGGGAAAUGUUUGGCUUUUGGUGUCCCAAGUCACCGGUUUAUCUUGAAUCCCAAAUCGAGGAAAUUUUCGACUUUUCCAAAUGAAGUCUGCGAACCAGAAAUUCUAAGUAAGGAAUUCUGUUGACCCGAGGGAAGGUGUUAGGCACCCUCGAAUCCCGUGGUUCUAGCACGGUCGCUUAAAUUGUUAUAAUGGCUAAAUAUCUGAUUUAAAUACAUGUUAUGACUUACGUGCUUUUAUUAAGUUUAAACCGCUUUUAUUAUUAUCAUUAAUUUUUAUAGAAUUGCAACGUCGUGGAAAUGCAUCUCGAACCACGUCACAAUCAAUGCACCCGUGGUCGUCGACACAUUUUGACUCCGUUGAGAUUUGGAUUUGGGUCACAUCAAUGUGCACCCGUGUUUAAGAAGGUUAAAUUAUUAAAGGUACGCCUAAAGCAACUAGCGUAUUGUUAUUUUAGGAAGAGGCCGUGAAGGUUCAUUAAACGGCCAAAUCCAAAGUCUAGUCAAUGGUUAUGCAUUUUAUUGAGGGCCCCGGCGGUUUGUGAUUUAUUUGGCGAGGCUCGUCUCAUUUUUAUUUUAAAGGAUAAACCUAUAGUGACUAUAUUUUCUAUUAAGUUCGUCUCUAAAAUAAAAGAAAAUCUCUUAAUUAUUUACAUGCUGAAAACGUAACUUAUUAGUUAUUAGUUUACGGCUAAUGCGAUUGGAAAAUUGCAAUCGAGUUUUUACAAAGAAAAACUGCUUUCAUUUUUAUAUUCCAUUAUUUACUAAUGCUGGAACAUGAGAGGGAUACACAAUAAUAUCAAAGCCGAUUAACUAUUCUUCAAGUAAUUUAAACUAGCAUUAUUAGAUGAAGCAAUCAUACAUAUGCAGCCUCAUUACUCAUUAAUUAAUCGACUACAUUUUUAUACAAAGAGAGGAAAAUUAAUAUUCAAACACAGAUCCAAACAAAAGAAUUCAACAGGAACAGGAGCCUGAUUAAUAUUUCAUUUUUUCGCUUCAAGCCAAGAGUGUACAAAUGUGUACCUGGAAACAGCAGUACAAGAACAAAAGAAGUAGGAGUCAGCAACAGUAAUAACGCGGCAACAGCAGGUUCAGCAACACCGCAAAACCAGCAACAACCAGUAGAAUAACCCAGUAGCAGAUUGAAAACUCAGCAAUGCAAAAGUAC